rnacentral:rRNA from 1 species
CCGGUACCAUCGCUUCCCAAGGGUAUUAACCUUGAGCAAUUUUUCCCGAAUGACAGGAGUUUACAACCCUAGGGCCGUCAUCCUCCACGCAGCGUCGCAUCGUCACGCUUUCGCGCAUUGCGAA